CUACGUGCCAGCAGCCGCGGUAAUACGUAGGUCCCGAGCGUUAUCCGGAUUUAUUGGGCGUAAAGCGCGCGCAGGCGGAUUGGUCAGUCUGUCUUAAAAGUGCGGGGCUUAACCCCGUGAUGGGAUGGAAACUGGGAAGCUCAGAGUAUCGGAGAGGAAAGCGGAAUUCCUAGUGUAGCGGUGAAAUGCGUAGAUAUUAGGAGGAACACCAGUGGCGAAAGCGGCUUUCUGGACGAAAACUGACGCUGAGGCGCGAAAGCCAGGGGAGCGAACGGGAUUAGAUACCCCGGUAGUCCUGGCCGUAAACGAUGGGUACUAGGUGUAGGAGGUAUCGACCCCUUCUGUGCCGGAGUUAACGCAAUAAGUACCCCGCCAGGGGAGUACGACCGCAAGGUUGAAACUCAAAGGAAUUGACGGGGGCCCGCACAAGCGGUGGAGUAUGUGGUUUAAUUCGACGCAACGCGAAGAACCUUACCAGGUCUUGACAUUGAUGGACAGAACUAGAGAUAG
rnacentral:rRNA from 1 species